UACGUGAGUGACGGGAUGCACCCAGAGGCGCAGCUGGACGACUCUGCUGACCGCUGGCUCACCUAUAAUGACUCCGAGGUCAUAGAGACUACAGGGGCCUCUGUCUGCCAACGUCGUCAGAGAGCGGCCUACAUCCUGCUCUACCAGCGACGGAUGUAGAGCAGCCUGGGAUAGUGGGACUUUAUGUGGCGGGCUCCUGAGGAACAUGUAGCCCAGGUGAGCAGCCACGGGAACUUCACAGGUAAGCUUGUUGUUUCCCUUCCCAUUGUCUUUCUGCAGGUGCUGAAGGUGUAGCUCUGAGAUGGACAAGCAGCUCGUCUCGUGGCCUGAAGCAGCAGGAGGUCCCCCAGCCUACAGGAGGAGGGUUGACUGGAAAUAAAUACAGAGAGAGAGUUGUGACCGUGGCCCCUCACGCCCAGAGAGUUGUGGCCCCUCACGCCCAGAGAGUUGUGACCGUGGCCCCUCACGUCUAGAGAGUUGUGACCG